rnacentral:rRNA from 1 species
GACGAACGCUGGCGGCGUGCUUAACACAUGCAAGUCGAACGGAAAGGCCUGCUUUCCCUUGUGGAUUGCGGGUACUCGAGUGGCGAACGGGUGAGUAACACGUGAGUGAUCUGCCCCCAACUUGGGUAUAAGCCUGGGAAACUGGGUCUAAUUCCCGAUAGGACUGCAGGGUGGUGCCUGUGGUGGAAAACGAUUUUCUAGUGGUUGGGGAUGAGCUCGCGGCCUAUCAGCUUGUUGGUGGGGUAAUGGCCUACCAAGGCGGCGACGGGUAGCCGGCCUGAGAGGGUGGACGGCCACAUUGGGACUGAGAUACGGCCCAGACGCCUACGGGAGGCAGCAGUGGGGAAUAUUGCACAAGGGGCGGAAGCCUGAUGCAGCGACGCCGCGUGGGGGAUGACGGCCUUCGGGUUGUAAACUCCUUUCGACCGCGAGGAAGCCACCUGGUUGGAAGGGUGGUGACGGUAGUGGUAGAAGAAGCACCGGCUAACUACGUG